UACAGAGGGGGCAAGCGUUAUUCGGAAUUAUUGGGCGUAAAGAGCUCGUAGGCGGUUCGAUAAGUCGGGUGUGAAACCUCCAGGCUCAACCUGGAGACGCCACCCGAUACUGUCGUGACUAGAGUCCAGUAGGGGAGCGUGGAAUUCCUGGUGUAGCGGUGAAAUGCGCAGAUAUCAGGAGGAACACCAGCGGCGAAGGCGGCGCUCUGGGCUGGAACUGACGCUGAGGAGCGAAAGCGUGGGGAGCGAACAGG
rnacentral:rRNA from 1 species